GCCAAAAUAGCUCAGUUGGGAGAGCGUCAGACUGAAGAUCUGAAGGUCCCUGGUUCAAUCCGGAGAGUUUGUA
rfam:Nematostella vectensis strain CH2 x CH6 NEMVEscaffold_796_Cont33001, whole genome shotgun sequence.